CCAUACUGACAUCUGUUGUCAGUUGCCAAUGUACUUUAAAACUCUAGUUUUUAUGUUUAUUGACCCAUAAUGGGCGAUAGAUGUCGCUCAAAACAAAAAAGAAGUUUUGUUUACAAUUUUUUCCCUGUUGAAAAAUCAGCCAAUCCCAAACAGACAAAUACGGUGAUGAUAUAAAGAUCGCGGUACCAGACCAUAAAAUGUACAAAAAAAUAGGACCAUCACGAAGAAAUACAUCGAUGUUUCACGCCAAACAAAUGUUUUGAAUGUAUCGAUUAGAAACAUAAAUAUAAUAAUAUUAUAUAAUAAUGUAAUGUAUUGUGUUUAUUAAAUAAAUAUGGUUAUGAUAGUAAAAGAGAAAAGAAAGAGAAAA